UCCGGUUUGUACCGGCGGUCCCGCCAGAGAAGGUAACUGGCAGCAGGGGUUGCGCUCGUUGCGGGACUUAGCCCAACACCUCACGGCACGAGCUGAUGACAGCCAUGCAGCACCUGUGCUAGCCCCUUACGGACACGGGCUUUCACCCGCUUUAACUAGCAUGUCAAGCCUAGGUAAGGUUCUUCGCGUUGCAUCGAAUUAAGCCACAUGCUCCGCCGCUUGUGCGGGUCCCCGUCAAUUCCUUUGAGUUUUGGCCUUGCGGCCGUACUCCCCAGGCGGAACACUUAACGCGUUGGCUGCGGCACAGAGGGAUUCGACUCCCCCCACACCUAGUGUUCAUCGUUUACGGCUAGGACUAC
rnacentral:misc_RNA from 1 species